UACGUAGGGUGCAAGCGUUGUCCGGAAUCAUUGGGCGUAAAGCGCGCGUAGGUGGCUUCGUAAGUCCGUUGUGAAAGUCAAAGGCUCAACCUUUGAAUGCCGAUGGAUACUGCGAAGCUAGAGUACGGAAGAGGCGAGUGGAAUUCUUGGUGUAGCGGUGGAAUGCGCAGAUAGUCGAGGAGGAACACCAAUAGCGAAGGCAGCUCGCUGGGACGUUACUGACACUAAGGCGCGAAAGCGUGGGGAGCGAACGAGGA
rnacentral:rRNA from 1 species